rnacentral:rRNA from 1 species
AUGGUGGGGGUGCUCCCGGAUUCCAGGUUCCCACAUGUCGACGGCAAGGCAACGAGGAACUCGCAAAGAACAACUAGGACACAGUGCAACCACGAUCCUAGGACACAGUGCAACUACGAUCAUCUCCUACAACACAUGCAUUCAUUCAUUGGCGUCGUCUCGGUGGUUCUUCGUGAAAACAACAUCACUAGAUGGAUGCAAGGACAUGGCAGUGACGGGUUAGAGCGCUUGACAGGAUCCGAACCAACAGGUGCUCGAGGACAGGGGCGCUUGGGGCAGCGGCGAGAGCUUGCCGGAUGCAGGUGGAGAGGUUGA